GCUGUCCUCAAAAUAAUUUUUUUCCAAGUAGUCUGAAGAUUCUUAAUGGUUUAGACAUUGGUUAUAAUUUCAAGACAUUAGACCUCUCAAUCUAGCCUUCACAGUCAAUAGCUAGCAUCGCAGAUUUGAUGCUAGACAGCUUCAUUCCUGGAGAAUCUGGUAUUCCAACGAGCAUUGGUGCUAUGGAAAUGAUUCAGUCUAUAAAGUGCUUGCCAUACAAACUUGAAGACCUAACUUUGAUCCCCAGAAGCCAGGUACAAAACAACCUAGCACAGUUUUUGUGCUUGUAAUCUCAGCCCUGGGUAGGUAGAGACAUGUAGGUCCUUGAGCAUCACUGCCCAGCAAGCCAGGCUUGUUCCACACACAACCUCAGAUUUUCCUGCGGCUUCCUUUGACACAUGCACACAGAUGCACCUGUAUAUGAACACAUGUGUGUGGGGACACACACACACACACACACACAAAUAACCUUGCUUUCUUUGGAAGAAAUAGGAUAUUAUCUAUGUAACAAUAGCAUCAGUGUGUGUCAGUCUAUUUAAAACACCUCUUAUUUUUACUAGUGCCUGCUGGAGAGAGUGGACUAGUCAAUUUUUGAAUGGCGUACUUGUUUAAAAUUUGCAGAUUAGAGGUUUGUCAUUGUUGAUAUUCUUGAGAAUUUUCUGUGGUUUAGGCACUUCUUAGUCCUUUUACAUUAUGGAUUUGAAAACAUAAUUAUUUUAAAACAGCUGUGCUCAUUAGUCAUUCCUGUUUUAUGGCUCAAAAGCAUGGGUCAUGUAAGUAGGCACAAGUAAAACUCAGGUAGUCUGAUUGCAAACCAGAAUUCUUAAUUCUCCUAACUUUCAUUCCUCAAAGUUGCCUUUAUUUCAGAUGUACUUAGAUUUUUCAAAAGGAGAAAAUAACAGCCAGGCUCUUUUGAGAGAUGAGAUGCGAACUUUGGAAUUUAAAAUGCUUCUAAUGAAUCUUGUAAACUAGGGUUAUGAAUCACUGCUUGGGCUAGGCAUGGAGCUCAGGGGUAGAACAGUUAUCUAACAUGUGUGGCCCUACGUUCAAGUCCCAGCACCUCACAAAACAACAACAACAACAAAAGACAUGAUAAGUUAUUGUUUCCUGGAAAGUAAGUUUAUUUGAUAAUCUAAUAGGAAUAAAAUAUAUGUAAUGACUUAGGGCUAUAAUAGAACCAUAAUAAAGAUUUUAUGUACCUGAUUCUAUGACUCAACAGUCAUACAUGUGAGUUACUUUUAUACUGGGACUGUGAAUCAUAGAAUGUAGUAUAUGAGAUACUAAGUCAUGUCUGAAAGAAAAAAUACACAUGGAUACUUUUUCUGUAUAAAAUUCCAAGUUUUAGUAAUUUAAAAUUUUCCAAGCUUUAAUUUGUUUGAAAAUACUUGGGAAAUUAUUUAAUAGAAAUAGGUCAGAUUUACCAAAUAUUUGUUUACAGUUAUUUUAUACUGUCUUUUUAGGUCAUCAUAUAUUAAAUGUAAAUACUCAUAUAUAACCAAAUGAUUUUUUAAAACAGAUUUAAGGUAUUGAACAUAUUUAUGUUUGUUUAUGAAUGUUUAAAUGGAUAAAUUAAAACAAAACACACUAUCUCUGAAAUUAUAAGAAUAAAACUUUAAGAUAAAAAAUAAUUUAUUUUAAAAUAUUACCAGAAAAAAUAUAUCCAUUUUCAGGUUAUUUAGCUUACAACUAAUUUUAAUUUGGGGAGAGUCCUUUGAAAUUAUAAUAAAAGUGUAAAGAGGAACUGUAAUUAGCUCGCUGCUAUAAGUGAGGCCAAUGUGACAUUUCUUGCAUAAUAAUAGUAUGGGUGCUUGAUUACUGUGUAGUCACAUCCCAAUCGCUGGCAUGGAAGUCUUGUAAAGGUAUCGAAACCAUGACUUUAAAUGGAUUCCAUUCACUGGUGGGCUAUGAUGAGCUCAUUGGUGACCUCCAUAAGGUAUCCCAGGCCUUAUCACCCAUUUGUUUGAAAAGUAAGGUUGAGGUUGACAGGGGAACUCAAGGUCUCGUUCACAACCGCUUAGAAGCUGAGCAGUCCUAAUAGUUUAACUUUACUCAGAGUCAGCACUAGACUUGGGCUCUUGACUGCACUGCAUCAACCCAGGCAAGAGGUCUUCUUCCCCUCCUUUCUUCUGUGUGUAAGAAAUGGGUAAAUGUUGAGUCCAAGAGAAUCAUUAAAUCUGAAUAAAUCUAUAAAUAACAUACAAUGAAUCAUUAAAUCUAUUUUAAAAACUUAACCUCAUUUUGUUAUUUAAUUUAUUCCAAGAGGUUAUUCUAUACAUAUUCUGUAAUGAUAUGUCUAAUAGUGAUAAACUAUAUGCUUUUGUAGCUUGUCUAGUAGUGUGUGAUUUCCCAGCCAGGGAGGCAGCCCUUUCAAAUGUAAGCAUAAAUCUGCAUUUCUAAGCCUAACAUUCUAGAUAUGCACAAAAUAAAGUGUUAGAGUGCAUACUUUCUAAGCAUGUAUUAUGCACCUCAUGAUGAUAAAAAUGUUCAUAUUACUCAGUUUCUGAGUACUGGACUGUUUUCUGUAUCCUAAAAUAAAGCAACUCACCAAAAUUGUAAUGUAAUUUAUUGUUAAUAACAUUUUUCAAAAUUCAUGGAAAUGAUACAUCACAAUAGAUCAUGUAUGUGGUAUUUUAGUAGUGAGCAUUGGUUUGAAUUAGGUCAGAACUUAGAUAAAUGGACUAUUAUACAGAUCUGUUUACAGUUUGGCAUCUUUCAAAGAUAAUGAUGCAUCUUAGUAGACUUCGAUUUCCAAACACUUUUGCCAUGUAGGAAGAGGAGAAGUUGCAUAUAGGUUUUAUAGCUGUUUAUGAACAGACCAUUUUGUUUUGGGUCAAAAAUAUGAGGAAAACAUGUUUGGGAGCAAUGUUUCUGGAUUUUUCAUGUCAUUAGUGCCUAAAAUGCAAGCUAUGCUGAAAUCUCUAUUUUAUAGAGUCUAUAGGCAAAAAUCUGGGCAAAUUAUGCUUUUUAAGAUUAUUAUGGAUAAAUGGAAGACAUGAUGCGAACUUGUUUUGCCCUGUAUGGUUAUUAUUCCUGGUGUUUUAAAAGUAUUAUUUAUUAGGAACUUUUGUAAUAAAAAUUAUUCAUAUACAAAACUACACAAUUAAAUUGGUUAGACAGGUGAGAGAUCAUGUAGAGAGUCCCUCCCUUAUUAUAAUCUUGUAAUUCUUCUGUAUGAUUAAUACAUAUUACUGCGUUCAUUUACAUUUUCAGAUUACAACUGUGAUUUUUCUCCAAAUGAAGUUUUCUGGGCUAAAAUGUCAUCCUUUUAUAUUCUGUGGUAUAGCAGAUUACUGUUGAAUUUAAGUUUUUG
rnacentral:lncRNA from 1 species